rnacentral:lncRNA from 1 species
AUGAGUUGCUCCUCGAAGUCAAGUCGCAACUGUAUUAACGGUGUUAAGAAAAAGGAAACAAACUUGCAAGACGUUUCUGUCUUGCGAAGCAAGCCCAUAGGGAAAAUCGUCUUGCGAAGCAACUCAAAAAACCAAAAACCCUUUCGUCUUGCGAGUUUUUGUCUUGCAAGGCAUUCGUCUUACUUGGAUCCUGCCAAAGUCUGUACUGGAAAGGGGGCUGUGACCCUCUGGGCGUCUCCAACCUAUGAGGAGAAUCGGAGCGUCAGUCCUACAAGUCAUUCACAAGACGUCCACCAAUCUGAAAAUGAUUGGAGGUUACCGCUUAGUGUCGACUCCAAUGGGGAUGCUCAGUCCUCUGCUCUGGCUGCCAAGGGCUACCGCAGUGUGCGGCCAAACCUCUCUGAGAGCAAACCACACGUGAGUACCUCUCAGACAGAGGUUAUAGUAGUGCCAUUCCAACAGGUUUACCCCGACCGCGGGCGAGAAGGCAGCUCAAGCACACCUCCACCGUCUCUCCUGCCAUAUGGCCAAAGCUCUGCAUUCUCUGACAGCACGCCUGCUCCUGGCUUACUCCUGACCUUCCCGACAUUAGACGAUUUCAUUCCCCCUCACCUUCAGAAAGGUUCCCAACAUAACCAGCCGUCCUCUUCGUCGGGGAUCGUGCCCCACGUUCGCCCGAAACUGCCUUCACUGUCGCCACCACCACCUCCUCCUCCUCCUGUGCUGAUUCCUCCCGUCACGGAGGUCUCAGACAGUGUGUCGGAGCCCGAGAGCACAGGAAUGAUCUUGCGCACAGACCCCUGUCCUCUGCUCUAUGAAGCGCCCAGGUCCAGCAGUGGCACAGAGUGCUAUGGCUCCCUAACUCUCACCAGCAAACCCACCUCUGGGUACCCCUCCACCACCAUAGUCAACCCCACCAUCGUCCUUUUGCAGCACAACAGAGGUAAGGGUAACAACAUAUUGCCUUUUCCAGCUCAACUUGGGGCAAUUUUCAGCGAGGGCAAUUACCGAAUGGAGGAAAGGAAGAAAGUAAUUAAGAGUCCACAGUACAUGACCGAUUCCUCACCGGAUGACAUAGGCAUUCCAUUAAGGGUAAGGAAAUUUGACCCUCCUGAAGAAAACCCUUAUUGCCCUACCUACAAAUUCCCCGAACUUCCUGAUAUCCAGCCCCAAACCAAAGAUGAAGAUUCCGAUUCCUGUGUGCCUCAGUACUCCUUUUACAAAGACACAAGAGCACAGACUUCAGUACCCCGUUCCAAGAGCGAGAACGACACUAUCGACAUGGAGAAAGUGGUCAAGAGAUCUGCCACUCUGCCCCUGCCAGCUCGUACCUCUUCUCUUAAACCGAGCACUGAAAGGAAUGAUUGGGAGCCUCCGGACAAGAAGGUGGACACAAGAAAAUACCGCGCUGAACCUAAAAGCAUUUAUGAAUAUCAGCCAGGAAGGUCCUCUGUUCUGAACAAUGAAAAAUUGACUCGGGAUAUAAGCCCAGAAGAGAUAGAUUUAAAGAAUGAGCCUUGGUAUAAAUUCUUUUCGGAAUUGGAGUUUGGGAAACCGCCUCCAAAAAAGAUUUGGGAUUAUACUCCGGGAGAUUGCUCUAUCCUUACUAGAGAGGAUAGAAAGACUGACCCAGAAAAAGACAUCUACCUCUAUCAGACUGAGUUAGAGGCAGAUAUAGAAAAAAUGGAGAAAAUGUAUAAAGAUAAGAAGCAGAUGAAGGUAUUUCUUCUUCAUUCCACGCACUCGCCGUAUUCCCCCAGCUACCAUUCUGCAAAGAGAGAGUUUGAAACAGCUCUGGGAGAUGCCACCGGGCCGGAAAACGAAAGGCAAAUAUACAAAAGUGUUUUAGAAGGUGGCGAUAUCCCGCUGCAAGGGCUAAGCGGUCUCAAACGUCCCUCCAGCUCGGCUUCCACUAAAGAUUCAGAAUCACCAAGGCAUUUUGCACCACUUGAUUACAUGGAGAGUCCUGAAGAAUUUUCCCGCAGGCGCCACAGUGAUAAAGAGAAACUUUUAGAGGACCAGAGACGGCUUAGACGUGAGCAAGAAGAGGCUGACAUUGCAGCUAGAAGGCACACAGGGGUCAUUCCUACGCACCAUCAAUUUAUCACUAAUGAGCGGUUUGGGGACCUCCUAAUUGUAGACGAUACCGCAAAAAGGAGAUCUGGGUCAGAGAUGAGAGCUGCCAGAGCGAAGUUUGACUUUAAAGCCCAGACACUCAAGGAGCUCCCACUGAAGAAAGGGGAUGUCGUUUACAUUUAUAAGCAAAUUGAUCAGAAUUGGUUUGAAGGCGAACACCAUGGCAGAGUUGGAAUUUUCCCACAAUCAUACAUAGAGCUACUCCCUCCCACAGAAAAAGCUCAGCCUAAGAAAACAUCACCGAUACAAGUCCUGGAAUACGGUGACGCUAUUGCCAAGUUCAAUUUCAAUGGUGACACUCAAGUGGAAAUGUCUUUCAGAAAGGGCGAGAGGAUCACACUGAUUCGGCAAGUGGACGAAAACUGGUAUGAAGGAAAAAUCCCCAGCACUCACCGCCAAGGCAUCUUCCCGGUCACAUACGUGGACAUUUUCAAGCAGCCGGUGCUGAAGAACACACUAGACUAUGGCAGCUUGUCGUUCUGCCACUCCCCAAACCGGAGUCUGACAACAUCCCCGCAGUCUCCCAGUUCUGAGCUGCUUUUCACACCAACUCCUCCACCUUUGGCCCCCAUCCGCCCAGCCCUGUCUCCUGAGUUGCAGGCUGUCACCUCCGAGUGGAUUUCCCUCACCUUCGGGGCGCCCCGUGGCCACGCUGCACCCGUCACCCCUCCAUUACCACCUCUUCCUGACGCUUCUCUCUGCAACGUCGACUAUCUCACCCCAUCAGCAGUGGCCAGCCCCUCGCCUUCCAUCAGCCUCCAUCCCUCUAACAUGUCCAGUUCCUCCACCCCGACCUCUUUCGUUUCCCCGCUGCCUCCCUCCCCUUACGAGCCUCAGUCGCCCGCCCAAAACGCCAGCCUGGCGGCUCGGCAGAGCGAAGAGAAGUUUGCUAGCUCCCCUUCCCCACAAAUGAGCUACUGCAAUUCGCCUUGCAGCCCCGACAGCUUCCUCUCAGAGCUCAGCGAUGCCACUGAACGCCAAGGCAAGUUGCAGAAGAGCCGAGGGCCGAGCCGGAGAAUGGAGAGGGAGGAUUGCGUUACGGCCGAACAGAAGUUGCGGUGUGCAUUUGCUAAAAUGUCUCCCUUACCAUGUGCUUUGGUGAUCACACAGCUUUCUCAUCAUUCAUUGAGGCCAGGACCAGAUCUCACAGAAUCUGAAAAGAGCUAUGUGGUAAGAUCGCUUAGCUACCAAGCAUUGUACAGCUAUGUCCCGCAGAAUGAAGAUGAGCUGGAGUUAAGAGAUGGAGAUAUCAUAGAUGUCAUGGAGAAGUGUGAUGACGGCUGGUUUGUUGGUGAGCAUGACAUCUGUCAUUUCAACUCGUUUUUAAAACGUUAA